AGCUGGGGGAUUAGCUCAAAUGG
rnacentral:piRNA from 1 species